rnacentral:rRNA from 1 species
UACGGAGGGUGCGAGCGUUGUCCGGAAUCAUUGGGCGUAAAGGGCGCGUAGGUGCCCUCUAAGCGUGCGGUGAAAGCCUGGGGCUCAACCCCGGGUCGGCCGUGCGAACUGGGGGGCUUGAGCACUGUAGAGGCAGGCGGAAUUCCGGGUGUAGCGGUGGAAUGCGUAGAGAUCCGGAAGAACACCGGUGGCGAAGGCGGCCUGCUGGGCAGUUUUGCUGACACUGAGGCGCGACAGCGUGGGGAGCAAACAGG